rnacentral:rRNA from 1 species
AGUGAACGCUGGCGGUAGGCCUAACACAUGCAAGUCGAACGGCAGCACAGUAAGAGCUUGCUCUUACGGGUGGCGAGUGGCGGACGGGUGAGGAAUACAUCGGCAUCUACUUUUUCGUGGGGGAUAACGUAGGGAAACUUACGCUAAUACCGCAUACGACCUACGGGUGAAAGCAGGGGAUCUUCGGACCUUGCGCGAUUGAAUGAGCCGAUGUCGGAUUAGCUAGUUGGCGGGGUAAAGGCCCACCAAGGCGACGACCCGUAGCUGGUCUGAGAGGAUGAUCAGCCACACUGGAACUGAGACACGGUCCAGACUCCUACGGGAGGCAGCAGUGGGGAAUAUUGGACAAUGGGCGCAAGCCUGAUCCAGCCAUACCGCGUGGGUGAAGAAGGCCUUCGGGUUGUAAAGCCCUUUUGUUGGGAAAGAAAAGCAGCAGGUUAAUACCCCGCUGUUCUGACGGUACCCAAAGAAUAAGCACCGGCUAACUUCGUG